GAUGAACGCUGGCGGCGUGCCUAAUACAUGCAAGUCGAGCGAACAGACGAGGAGCUUGCUCCUCUGACGUUAGCGGCGGACGGGUGAGUAACACGUGGAUAACCUACCUAUAAGACUGGGAUAACUUCGGGAAACCGGAGCUAAUACCGGAUAAUAUAUUGAACCGCAUGGUUCAAUAGUGAAAGACGGUUUUGCUGUCACUUAUAGAUGGAUCCGCGCCGCAUUAGCUAGUUGGUAAGGUAACGGCUUACCAAGGCAACGAUGCGUAGCCGACCUGAGAGGGUGAUCGGCCACACUGGAACUGAGACACGGUCCAGACUCCUACGGGAGGCAGCAGUAGGGAAUCUUCCGCAAUGGGCGAAAGCCUGACGGAGCAACGCCGCGUGAGUGAUGAAGGUCUUCGGAUCGUAAAGCUCUGUUAUUAGGGAAGUACAAAUGUGUAAGUAACUAUGCACGUCUUGACGGUACCUAAUCAGAAAGCCACGGCUAACUACGUG
rnacentral:rRNA from 1 species